rnacentral:rRNA from 1 species
UACAGAGGGGGCAAGCGUUGUUCGGAUUUACUGGGCGUAAAGGGCGGGUAGGCGGCCACCGCAAGUCGACUGUGAAAUCUCCGGGCUUAACCCGGAAAGGUCAGCCGAUACUGCGGGGCUAGAGUGCAGAAGGGGCAACUGGAAUUCUCGGUGUAGCGGUGAAAUGCGUAGAUAUCGAGAGGAACACCUGCGGCGAAGGCGGGUUGCUGGGCUGACACUGACGCUGAGGAGCGAAAGUGUGGGGAGCGAACAGG